CAGAAAUUCAAGUAUGCGAUUCUGCUAGCCAAUUUAUCGAUUUGCUUCUUCCAUUAAACAUUUGACCAGCAAAUGAAUCACUCAAAUCAGCAUCCUAAUUCACUGUUGGCUGAUCAAAACAAAUUCCUUCACUUGUAUUUGGCAGUCCUAGGAACAUAAAGAAAAAAGAUCACAAUACUGAUUUAACACUGGAAACUGUAUGUCUCUAUUCAACAUAGGAGACUAUUAAGAUAGUACCCUGAAAACUGUUAAAGCUCAUAUAUAGGAAAUAAGUAAUUUUCUCAUAGCCCAAAACUGAAAAAUAUUGAAAAAUAGGUUGCAAUCAUGCACCUUAAUACAUCCAAGCAAUAGUAAUAAAAAUUCAGUUUCAUUCUGGCUUUUCAUGGAUAUACGGUUUUCAUCAGAAACUAUAUAAGGACCAUCGAAUCAUGGAAUUUCAUCCAAGCUUAAAAUCCUACAAAGAGAAAACUUGCUCGAAGCAAAUUUGAACCCCAGCCCAACUCAUGGUUGACUUGCAGUCAAAGAAAUUUGAAUGUCGAACCAUUGAAAGUAAGCACUUGAAUGUCGAGCCUCAACAAUCAAACAAGGUCUGUCUACUUGGUCUGGUGUUGGGACUACUCAGCAAUUCACAUAUAAAAUACAAAUUACUGGAGAGUACCCUCUACAGCUGAGUUAGGUAUUGUUUGUACGUCAUAAAGAGGACCUACUAAGACAACUUUUAGCUAUACAAGGCACUCUAAUAUGACCUACUGAGACAUAUUUGUUGGCUAAACCUUUUCAAGACGAAAUGCAACAGAGUAAUAGAGACCUCAGCUUAAUUUUCUGUGUUUUUGCCAAGAAGAAAGUUCCCUUCCUUUCAGUAUAGCAACUACAACUUCCAUGCCAAACAAUUUCAAACAAAGAUGAUGCAGUUUGCAAUACUCUUUAGCUUAUGGUUAUUAACUUGAUCCAGAAUUAAACCAUACACCAUGUUAUGAAAAACCUACACCUACAGGAUCAAAAACAGUAGCAUAAUAUUCAUCACAACUAUUGGCCAAUGAUUUCCCAACUAUGGCCUCACCACAAAAAUCAUAGAGAAUAUUAAUCAGGGGCUCAGGGCAUAACCAGGAACAUCAUAAUAAACCAUGGCAUACACAAAAUAGGGAGCCUAAACCCUACCAUGUUAUCCACAAACAAACCAAGUCAUGAACCAAAGAUCACAGCCCAGCACAAUAGUAGCAAGAUAGAAAGCUCACAGGUAGGUCCAAUUGUUGUCCAUCACUAAAAAACUGACGCCAGCUCAAUGGCUAGAGCACAACACGACAUCACUUCAAAAGCACCACAAGGGAACAAACAUCCACAUAGGCUCGGCCAGCACACAGAGUAGGAAUAGCUCAAACCCUAUGCCUCACAAGGUACAGAGGGGAAACAAAGGACAUACCUUGUCGCGGAAAGGAGCAGGAGAGAUCAUCCAGCAUCAGGGGUUGGUGGUCGGCCAGCCUCCAGCUCCUCAACUUCUGCGCGGCCAUGGCAUUGAAGGCCAACUUGAGCUCCAACAGUUCCCCUAUAACCAGCCAAGCAUUACAAUGGUGUACCAGCCUGAGAAAGCUCCAACAGUUCUUCAAUACUCAAUUUUUUUGAAGCAAUAAAAAAAUGUUGCAUCAAGUUGUUCCUACAUGAUCAUUUCACUAGGGUGUGACAGCAAUAGCAGCAAGUUGUUCUGUCAAGCAUGUGAGUGGAUUCAGACCAGCAGCAAGCCAAGCAAUUUGUUUUAGAUUUUAAACAGGCAGAGUAUUUGUAGAGUUGAAUCACAUGAGAAAAAUAGUGACCACCAUAGGCUUCCUAAGCAUGCUGGCUAAUCUGGACGGCCAUGAGUAAGAGCAGUAGCAAGCAAGCAAACAGGGAAGCAAGUAAGCACAUGAGGUAACCCAACCCAGCCUAGGAUUUCAAAACAAGAGAGGAGUGGAGGGAAAAUCGACCUUGAGCUACUGCUGCUCCUCUCCAUGGACGGGCACAUAGCAUGAGUGGACUUG
rnacentral:lncRNA from 1 species